rnacentral:rRNA from 1 species
CGUAAUAGCUCACUGGUCGAGUCGGCCUGCGCGGAAGAUGUAACGGGGCUAAACCAUGCACCGAAGCUGCGGCAGCGACGCUUAUGCGUUGUUGGGUAGGGGAGCGUUCUGUAAGCCGUUGAAGGUGGCCUGUGAGGGUUGCUGGAGGUAUCAGAAGUGCGAAUGCUGACAUAAGUAACGAUAAAGCGGGUGAAAAGCCCGCUCGCCGGAAGAC